rnacentral:tRNA from 1 species
GCGGGAGUAGCUCAGUUGGUAGAGCAUCACGUUGCCAACGUGAAUGUCGCGAGUUCGAGUCUCGUCUCCCGCUCCA